GUGAGUAACACGUGGGUGACCUGCCUCGCACUUCGGGAUAAGCCUGGGAAACUAGGUCUAAUACCGGAUAUGACCACUGAUCGCAUGGUUGGUGGUGGAAAGAUUUAUCGGUGCGAGAUGGGCCCGCGGCCUAUCAGCUUGUUGGUGGGGUAACGGCCUACCAAGGCGACGACGGGUAGCCGACCUGAGAGGGUGACCGGCCACACUGGGACUGAGACACGGCCCAGACUCCUACGGGAGGCAGCAGUGGGGAAUAUUGCACAAUGGGCGAAAGCCUGAUGCAGCGACGCCGCGUGGAGGAUGACGGCCUUCGGGUUGUAAACUCCUUUCGACAGGGACGAAGCGCAAGUGACGGUACCUGUAGAAGAAGCACCGGCCAACUACGUGCCAGCAGCCGCGGUAAUACGUAGGGUGCGAGCGUUGUCCGGAAUUACUGGGCGUAAAGAGCUUGUAGGCGGUUUGUCGCGUCUUCUGUGAAAACUUGGGGCUCAACCUUAAGCUUGCAGGGGAUACGGGCAGACUAGAGUACUUCAGGGGAGACUGGAAUUCCUGGUGUAGCGGUGAAAUGCGCAGAUAUCAGGAGGAACACCGGUGGCGAAGGCGGGUCUCUGGGAAGUAACUGACGCUGAGAAGCGAAAGCAUGGGUAGCAAACAGGAUUAGAUAC
rnacentral:rRNA from 1 species